rnacentral:rRNA from 1 species
UACGAAGGGGGCUAGCGUUGUUCGGAAUUACUGGGCGUAAAGCGCGCGUAGGCGGUUUUGUAAGUUGGAGGUGAAAUCCCGGGGCUCAACCCCGGAACUGCCUUCAAAACUGCAAGACUUGAGUCCGGGAGAGGGUAGCGGAAUUCCCAGUGUAGAGGUGAAAUUCGUAGAUAUUGGGAAGAACACCGGUGGCGAAGGCGGCUACCUGGACCGGAACUGACGCUGAGGCGCGAAAGUGUGGGGAGCAAACAGG